ACAAGGACUAAUGGCAAAAUUUAACCAAUUUUUUCACUAUCAUUUUUUUUCUUUGGUUUUGUUCCCUCUUUCUCUCGUUGCGUUUCUUUCUCCCUUCCCUUCACCCAUGUCCCCAGACUCUCAUUUUAAAGCCUCCAUGUCUACCUUAGUGAUCUAUUGUCUGGAGAUGGUUCUGCAAGCAUAGCUCACGUGGCAGCUUAGGAUUUUGAUUGUACGAGUUGUGCUUCUUCUAUAUAAGAAACAAGGGGUUUGUUGUGGGUUAGAGGUGAGUGGUCUAGCCUAUGUGGUGUUAGUUGAGAUUCCAGGAAUGAACCGCGUAGCAUCCCAUCCCAUGCACCAUUUCAGCACUCUCCCCCAAAUUCCUUCUAUUCAUUUUCCUAAACCGUGUAGGCUCCGUGUUUAACAGCGUUUUCCUCUCUUAUAAAUUGCCUCACAGCCAAAACCCAAAGAAGAAGAGAGAUUAAUAAAAGAAACCCAGAAGCCAAGGAAAGCAUUAGAGAAGCGCAUGGCAAGUUAGACAAACUUCGAAGUCAAUCCUUAUCAAUCUCAAUCUACUUUAGAUAUUUGCUGGAAUUUGUUCUCUAAUUCAAAUCCAAGCAGCAGCAUUAUUACUAUUAUUUUUAUUGCCUUCAAUUUCUUUCUCUAACUUGUCUUCGCCCUUCUCUCAUUCUUAUCUUUGGACUUUGGUUCCUUUCCUUCUGUUCAAUAAUCCAUGUUAUACCUACACCUACAUACACCAAUAUCCAAUUAAGGUCUAAUAAAUGCUUAGAACAGCUCCAUGAAAUAUGAGACAUCACAACAGGCCAACCAGUAGAUCUGGGCACAAACAGGCAGCUGAAGAUCUACUAUAGAUACUAAUUCAGGCAUCUUGAAGCACAAAGUCCGAUGCUUUUUAAUUUUCUUUGCCUUGCAGAUCACCCGGUUAAAAGACCCAAUCCAUCAGUCAGCCUAGCUCGCCACAUAGAGACACCAACAAGAAAGUCAAGAAAGAUUAGAUCUAACUCAUGCUCCAAGUUUUAAGUGUGACCGAGAAAAAAAUAUUGAUUGUUGCUUAGAAAGAAUGGAAGCCAUAAGUUAGUCAGGAGGUGGAAUAAAAAGGUAUCCAAAAGUUGUUAGAAGUAGCGGAAUCCGUAGUUAAACUUGAUUUAGGAAAAGAUAAACUUUAGCCUUCCAAAUUCGAAAGAAGGGGCGAAUGUGAAAAUGAUCACAAUGAAAACAAUGACGAUGGCAAUGGCAACAGUUACAAUUGUGGUAAUGGAAAACCACGAGUUAGAAAGAAAAAAUCCAAGAGGAAAAGGGACAAAUUGAAAUUUUUUCUCUACGACGGUCCACACAUGUUAAAGAAAUAUUUGAAGAAAUCCGCGCUUAAAAAAAAACCCGGUUAGUAAGUCCUUGGUACUUGGUUCAAGCCUGUUGAAGCUAAGGAAGCUGAAAGCGAGAAAAAGCUAAUAAAGUGCUUCUUGUGUCAUGUUCCGCAUAAGUUGCAGAACUGUUCGAGGAAGUCUAUCAUCGAAGGAAACGAUAGAGCAGACAAUGAGCUUAAGAAGUUUAGUUCAAGUAAGAAAAAAGCCGAAACGAAGAGAGGAAAGAGAAGAAAAAAGAAACAAGUAAAGUAAUAAAUCCUAAAAAAAUCUGAUUCAGCGGAGUGAGAGCGAAAACUUUAUGAAAACUUCUAGUCUCAGGAAAGAAGUUGAGGGCUGCAGACAGGGGUACAUAAAGUGAGCUAGAAAAUACUAGCCAGAGCCUGUAAAAGAUUACAUAGCAGCCGAUGAGAUGAAAGUUUGUUUUUCAAUUCAUAAAAUGUCCAAAGCUGUAACUAUAUAAUAACGUGGGGGACACUUAUUUCUUUUUGUCUCUUAGUAACUGCUUAUCAGAGAGCACUUUAUUGUUCUUUUCCAAUUAUAUAUGCAUAGAUUUAUAUUAUAUGAAA